AUAACAUAUAGACAUUGGAAUUUGCAUUGCAUUCUGUCAUAAAUGGUAGGAUAAAAUAUUUAAUUAAUACAUAUAUGAAAUAAACCCAAUAACAAGUUGGUUGGCCAUAAUGGAAAACAGAUAACAACAGAAUUGGUUCAAUUGUCAUAACUAAAUUUCGUGUCCUCUUCAUUUUGAAUGUGACCUUUCAUAUAACACUUAUUAAUG
rnacentral:lncRNA from 1 species